rnacentral:rRNA from 1 species
AUACGGAGGGUGCGAGCGUUAAUCGGAAUUACUGGGCGUAAAGAGUACGUAGGCGGUUGCUUAAGUCAGAUGUGAAAGCCCCGGGCUCAACCUGGGAACUGCAUUUGAAACUGAGUGACUAGAGUUUAAGAGAGGGGAGUAGAAUUCCGGGUGUAGCGGUGAAAUGCGUAGAGAUCCGGAGGAAUACCAGUGGCGAAGGCGGCUCCCUGGCUUAAAACUGACGCUGAGGUACGAAAGCGUGGGUAGCAAACAGGAUUAGAUACCCUAGUAGUCC